rnacentral:rRNA from 1 species
GAUGAACGCUGGCGGCGUGCUUAACACAUGCAAGUCGAACGAAGCUGCCUGGAGGAAGUUUUCGGAUGGAAUUUAGGUAGACUUAGUGGCGGACGGGUGAGUAACGCGUGGAUAACCUGCCUUAUACAGGGGGAUAACGGAGAGAAAUUUCCGCUAAGACCGCAUAAGACCACAGCACCGCAUGGUGCAGGGGUAAAAUAUUUAUAGGUAUAAGAUGGAUCCGCGUCCGAUUAGCUAGUUGGUGAGGUAAAGGCCCACCAAGGCGACGAUCGGUAGCCGGCCUGAGAGGGUGAACGGCCACAUUGGGACUGAGACACGGCCCAAACUCCUACGGGAGGCAGCAGUGGGGAAUAUUGGACAAUGGGGGAAACCCUGAUCCAGCGACGCCGCGUGAGUGAAGAAGUAUUUCGGUAUGUAAAGCUCUAUCAGCAGGGAAGAAAAUGACGUACCUGACUAG